UGGCUCAGUAGGUUGAGCGUCUGACUUUGGCUCAGAUCAUGAUCUCAUGGCUCACAGGUUCAGGCCCUGU
rnacentral:tRNA from 1 species